rnacentral:rRNA from 1 species
GACGAACGCUGGCGGCGUGCUUAACACAUGCAAGUCGAACGGAAAGGCCCCUUCGGGGGUACUCGAGUGGCGAACGGGUGAGUAACACGUGAGUAACCUGCCCUGACUUCGGGAUAACUUCAGGAAACUGGGGCUAAUACCGGAUAGGAAUCCUUGCUGCAUGGUGGGGGUUGGAAAGCUUCGGCGGUUUUGGAUGGACUCGCGGCUUAUCAGCUUGUUGGUGGGGUAGUGGCUUACCAAGGCUUUGACGGGUAGCCGGCCUGAGAGGGCGACCGGCCACAUUGGGACUGAGAUACGGCCCAGACUCCUACGGGAGGCAGCGGUGGGGAAUAUUGCACAAUGGGCGGAAGCCUGAUGCAGCAACGCCGCGUGCGGGAUGACGGCCUUCGGGUUGUAAACCGCUUUCAGCAGGGGCGAAGCUUGUGGUGACGGUACCUGCAGAAGAAGCACCGGCUAACUACGUG